rnacentral:lncRNA from 1 species
AGGACCCGAGAGCCUAAAAAAAUUAUUACAAGCCCAAAUACAAAGAAAGGUCCAAUGGCCCAAAAUCCUAAUCUUUCAACAGAAACUCUAGUUGCCCUAGCCCCCUACCACGCCGCUCCCCGACAUGUCAGCGGAGGUGAGGCCCGAAACCUUUCGCCUUGCACCAAAACGACAGCAGCAACCCCGUUGACUUCUACCGCCCCUAUAAGAAACACAAAAAAAAAAAGAAAAAAAAAGUAGAAACAAGAAAUCGAAAAAACAUAUAUUGUAACACCCCUAACCCGUGUCCGUCGCUGGAUUGGGGUUACGAGGCAUUACUGAACAUAGCACAAUACAAAACAAACAUUUAUUUGAAUUCAAUCACUAAUCAAACUUGUAUGUAUAUAUAUAUAUAUAUAUUGAUCACAUAGUCAACC